GUUUCACAAAGCGAGUGAGAAAGACUUCCAUGGAGUCACACAGAGUGAGAAUCUGGCCCAUCAAUUUCUGGGCUGCUUUUUUACAGCACAGUUUGUGUGGGGAAGCCAGAGGCUGUGUUGCUCAGCCCAGUGUGCAGGAAAGCUGGCUUCCAGCAAAGCCGCAGCCAGACUCAGGUGACCCUUGUCCUCUUCCUCCAUCUUACUGAAGUGAACCCUUCCUUCCACUAAUGGCUAGAAGAGAGGGCGGCGCCAUUUUGAUUUAGCUUAUGGCCACUGUUUGCCUUCAUAAGUGGACAAAGGACUUACCUUGGAAAAGCGAUUUUCAUCAUUCAUCUUAAGAAGUGAUUGAGAUGUGAGCCAGUUUAAGAAGAGGGAAACAAAAUAAAACAAAGCCCAGAAUAGAAUGAAAUAAAUGAAAGAGCUAAGAAAUUGAAGGAUUGCAGAUUAAUUUCUAAAAGGAACACCUUGUUGAAGCUCAGAAAAACCAGGAAGAAAGCCAAGGACAAUUGGUACAGGUUGUUUUGGUGUACUGAUCGAAUAGCCCAGAUAGGCUGGUCCUUAUUAAAGAGUGAGUAAGCAAAAGAAAAGGUAACUACCACCAUUGAGCUCUGAAGAGCUUCUGCAACAUGAGGGACACAAACAUGGCAUGAAGGACCAGGUAAAGAGCUUACUGCUGAAGAGUCCCUCCAGGAAACAGAAGAAAUGCAUUUAGGUAGAAAACAUUUUCUGUUUUUUUUUUUUUAAAGUAAUAAAAUAUGGUACAAUGAAAAGGAAAAUGAU